AUGGUAGGAUAGAGGCCUACCAUGGUGGUAACGGGUAACGGGGUGUUAGGGCACGACACCGGAGAGGGAGCCUGAGAAACGGCUACCACAUCCAAGGAAGGCAGCAGGCGCGCAAAUUACCCAAUCCCGACACGGGGAGGUAGUGACAAUAAAUAACAAUAUAGGGUUCUUUUGGAUCUUGUAAUUGGAAUGAGUACAAUUUAAAUCUCUUAACGAGGAACAAUUGGAGGGCAAGUCUGGUGCCAGCAGCCGCGGUAAUUCCAGCUCCAAUAGCGUAUAUNAAAGUUGUUGCAGUUAAAAAGCUCGUAGUUGAAUUUCGGGAUCAAUACGUCGGUCGUGCUUCGGUACGUACUGGCGUAAUUGAUUUCUCCCUUCUGACGAACCAUGAUGUCAUUAACUUGGUGUCAUGGGAAAUCAGGACUGUUACUUUGAAAAAAUUAGAGUGUUUAAAGCAGGCUCACGCUUGAAUACAUUAGCAUGGAAUAAUGAAAUAGGACGUUCGAUCCUAUUUUGUUGGUUUUUAGGAUCAACGUAAUGAUUAAUAGGGAUAGUUGGGGGCAUUAGUAUUCAAUUGUCAGAGGUGAAAUUCUUGGAUUUAUUGAAGACUAACUACUGCGAAAGCAUUUGCCAAGGAUGUUUUCAUUAAUCAAGAACGAAAGUUAGGGGAUCGAAGACGAUCAGAUACCGUCGUAGUCUUAACCAUAAACUAUGCCGACUAGGGAUCGGAUGAUGUUAAUUUUUUAAUGACUCAUUCGGCGCCUUACGGGAAACCAAAGUGUUUGGG
rnacentral:rRNA from 1 species